GCUGCUGCUGGAGGAGGACCUGGAGCUGCUGAGGGCUCAGCACUUGUUGCUGGAGGAUCUGCUGCAUUUGCUGGGGAGUGAUAACUUGAGGUGUCAUCAUAGCCACUGACACGGGAACCUAGAACAUUAACGAAGGGGAAGAAGACACUUGGGAACCAAUCAUUCUGCAGCUGGCGUUAAUACGAUCCACUUCCUCGGCGGAUGGUGACUUUUCAGAAUAGUCAGUGAAUGCUCAGGGUAACUGAACCUUGGAACUUAGACACAGACCAGCCCUCUGAUGCCUUUUACUUUCCUUUAUUCUCCUAGCAUACAGAUGUCUCAAUUCUUUCAUAUUAUGUGUGAUACCAUUAAAAGCUGCUUUCCAUGA